CCCGGGUCUUGUACACACCGCCCGUCACACCAUGGGAGCGGGUUCUGCCAGAAGUAGUUAGCCUAACCGCAAGGGGGGCGAUUACCACGGCAGGGUUCGUGACUGGGGUGAAGUCGUAAACAAGGUACC
rnacentral:rRNA from 1 species